rnacentral:rRNA from 1 species
AGGUCCAGCCUGCCCAGUGACUAAGUUAAACGGCCGCGGUACCCUAACCGUGCAAAGGUAGCGCAAUCACUUGUUCUUUAAAUGAGGACUAGUAUGAACGGCAUCACGAGGGUUACACUGUCUCCCUAUUCCAUUCAGUGAAACUGAUCUUCCCGUGAAGAAGCGGGAAUAUAAAUAUAAGACGAGAAGACCCCAUGGAGCUUUAAACUCAGUGUCAUCUGCCACUUCAACACCCUCUUAAUUACGCAGACCAUGAUAACUAGUUUUCGGUUGGGGUGACCGCGGAGUAAAACAAAACCUCCACAACGAAAGGAACUAACAACCUAAUCCAAGAGCAACAUCUCUAAGAAUCAACAAAUUGACUCAAUUGAUCCAAUUACUUGAUCAACGAACCAAGUUACCCUGGGGAUAACAGCGCAAUCCAUUUCAAGAGCUCAUAUCGACAAAUGGGUUUACGACCUCGAUGUUGGAUCAGGGUAUCCCAGUGGCGCAGCAGCUACUAACGGUUCGUUUGUU